GGAGAGAUGGCCGAGUCAGGCUUAAGGCGGCAGAUUCGAAAUCUGUUGUGCGGGCAACCGUACCGGGGGUUCGAAUCCCCCCCUCUCCG
rnacentral:tRNA from 1 species